ACAUCCAUGGCUUAGUGGUUAAAGCUUUAACUUGUAAUUAAGAGGUCUAAGGUUCCAUUCCCAAUGGUAGCA
rnacentral:tRNA from 1 species